ACCUGGGUGGCUCAGUCGGUUAAGCAUCCGACUUGGGCUCAGAUCAUGACCUCACGGGUCGUGGGUUCGAGCCCCGCAUCAGGCU
rnacentral:tRNA from 1 species